rnacentral:rRNA from 1 species
AUUGAACGCUGGCGGCAGGCCUAACACAUGCAAGUCGAGCGAGCGGCGGACGGGUGAGUAAUGUCUGGGAAACUGCCUGAUGGAGGGGGAUAACUACUGGAAACGGUAGCUAAUACCGCAUACCAUCAGAUGUGCCCAGAUGGGAUUAGCUAGUAGGUGGUGUAAUGGCUCACCUAGGCGACGAUCCCUAGCUGGUCUGAGAGGAUGACCAGCCACACGUGAACUGAGACACGGUCCAGACUCCUACGGGUGGGCGCAGUGUGGAAUAUUGCACAAUGGGCUCAAUCCUGCUGCAGCCAUGCCGCGUGUAUGAAGACGGCCUUCGGGUUGGAGAGUACUUUCAGCGGGGAGGCGUUACCCGCAGAAGAAGCACCGGCUAACUCCGUGCCAGCAGCCGCGGUAGUUC